GAUGAACGCUGGCGGCGUGCCUAAUACAUGCAAGUCGAGCGAACGGACGAGAAGCUUGCUUCUCUGAUGUUAGCGGCGGACGGGUGAGUAACACGUGGAUAACCUACCUAUAAGACUGGGAUAACUUCGGGAAACCGGAGCUAAUACCGGAUGAUAUUUUGAACCGCAUGGUUCAAAAGUGAAAGACGGUCUUGCUGUCACUUAUAGAUGUAUCCGCGCUGCAUUAGCGAGUUGGUAAGGUAACGGCUUACCAAGGCAACGAUGCAUAGCCGACCUGAGAGGGUGAUCGGCCACACUGGAACUGAGACACGGUCCAGACUCCUACGGGAGGCAGCAGUAGGGAAUCUUCCGCAAUGGGCGAAAGACUGAAGGAGCAACGCCGCGUGAGUGAUGAAGGUCUUCGGAUCGUAAAACUCUGUUAUUAGGGAAGAACAUAUGUGUAAGUAACUGUGCACAUCUUGACGGUACCUAAUCAGAAAGCAACGGCUAACUACGUG
rnacentral:rRNA from 1 species